UACCACCUGAUCAUUCUAGACUGACGGUACUAUAUGUUAAGAGACGCUGGCCAAUGGCAAUAGAGCAGUAGCCGGGGCGAAACGGGGAGGUCGGAUCCAACAACACUAUAUGAAUUCAGGCAGUUAGGUUUGGAAGGUGGUAAUUUCAACCUGGCUAAAAAGUUGGCAUAAUGGGAAAUAUUGAAGAUUUUCAACGUCAGUUCACAUCUGUUAUGGAGAACCUUUUGCAUUUAGCUGUUACUGAAACGACGAAACUCUUCGAAAGUGCAGUGCAGGAAUUGAAAGCAGAGCACGCAUGGAUACAAAAACAGAACGAUAAAGAUACUCUUUGUUCAUACCAAAGAAGUAUACCGGAAUGGAGUGGAAAUCCAUGCACACGAGAUAUCGGCGUACAAGUUCGCGUAACGCCUAUGGUGGUGGAGCGGUCCUGCAGCCCUGGUUCACAACAUGAAGACACAGACAAAACCAGAUUUUCGGGUUCGUUUCCAGGUCUUUUACAGGACGAAAACCAACAGUUUACGUUGCUCUUUAUCAAGCCAGAGGAGGCAGAUAUGUAUGACUACACCCCUGCUUGUCUCUUGCCAAAGCUUGCAGAAGACUGCCCAAAACCCUUUCUGGUGCAGCAUAUUGAGGCAUCAGUUAUGUCUCAGGAAGCUGGUGUGUUACCAGUCAGACCAUCUCCAUACCAGGGUAUGCCAGAUAACGCCACAAGUCCGUUCACCCAUAAUCCCACUUCAUCCAUACCUCAAGCUGUGCAAGAGUGUGCUCUGCCAGCACCUGUUGAAACACCUCAAAGUCAAGAAUUAAAUCCCUCAGACUAUUUCCAUGCCUCUUUAGAACUGAUGACUGACACACAGAAGGAAAAGUAUGUGAGGCUGUUGCAGCCACCCACACCCACACCAACCAGUUCCCUGACAGAUGCAGCCGAUGGAAGCAUAUCUGCUACAAAGGAUGUAGCUAAACUGAGCUACCAAGGUCAGCCUAGAAGGUUAAGUGCUAGGAAGUCAAAGUCAGUAUAUCGUCCCCUGGUGGAUUUGGAAACACCUCAACACGAUGGAGAAAAUAUCCAGCAUGCAAAUGCCACCAGUGCCUCCACAUUCCAUGUUCCCACAAAGGUUCGAAAAAAAACAGGCAAGAAGAGUUACAAUUGGCCUAGCAGGAACCAGCCUGGCAAGAAUGAACAGCUCAAGAGUCAACUUGGCAGGAGCCACAGAAACGAGUACAAGUGUGAGGUGUGUGAGCGUGUCCUCAGCAGUGCCUCUCAUCUGAAGCGCCACUGGAAGGUCCACAGUGUGAUGAGAGACAGUGUAUGUUCCAAGUGUGGGAAGGUUUUUCCCACUGAGAGAAGCCUCAGUGGUCAUAUGCUUAUUCACACAUCGGACAGCUGUUAUCAGCGCUUGGAGGAUGUCGCUACUGUGGAAACAAGGCAAGCUGACGAUAAAAUAGAUCAGCAAAGCUUGGGAUCUCACCAAAAGAUUCACCAAGAUCAGUCUAGAAGGUUAAGUGCUAGGAAGUCAAAGUCAGUAUAUCGUCACCUGGUGGAUUUGGAAACACCUCAACACGAUGGAGAAAAUAUCCAGCAUGCAAAUGCCACCAGUGCCUCCACAUUCCAUGUUCCCACAAAGGUUCGAAAAAAAACAGGCAAGAAGAGUUACAAUUGGCCUAGCAGGAACCAGCCUGGCAAGAAUGAACAGCUCAAGAGUCAACUUGGCAGGAGCCACAGAAACGAGUACAAGUGUGAGGUGUGUGAGCGUGUCCUCAGCAGUGCCUCUCAUCUGAAGCGCCACUGGAAGGUCCACAGUGUGAUGAGAGACAGUGUAUGUUCCAAGUGUGGGAAGGUUUUUCCCACUGAGAGAAGCCUCAGUGGUCAUAUGCUUAUUCACACAUCGGACAGCUGUUAUCAGCGCUUGGAGGAUGUCGCUACUGUGGAAACAGAGCAAGCUGACGAUGAAAUAGAUCAGCAAAGCUUGGGAUUUCCCUCAGACCAUUUCCAUGCCACUUUAGAACUGAUGACUGACACACAGAAGGAAAAGUAUGUGAGGCUGUUGCAGCCACCCACACCCACACUAACCAGUUCCCUGACAGAUGCAGCCGAUGGAAGCGUAUCUGCUACAAAGGAUGUAGCUAAACUGAGCUACCAAGGUCAGCCUAGAAGGUUAAUGCCUAGGAAGUCAAAGUCAAUAUAUCGUCACCUGGUGGAUCUGGACACACCUAAACCCAAUGCAGAAAAUAUCCUGCAAGAAAAUGACACCAAUGCAUCCACAUGCUAUGUUCCCACAAAGGUUUGCAAGGAAACAACCAAUAAGAGUUCCAAGCAGCCUAGCAAGAACCGACCUGGCAAGCAUCAAUGUGAGGUGUGUGGGCGGGUGCUGAGCAGUGCCUCUUCUCUGGAGCACCACCAGAGAGUCCACAGGGAGAGACCCUUCGUCUGUGACGUGUGUGGAAAGACUUUUCCUGAUCGGAGUGGCCUCAGAUGUCACCUUCGUAUUCACACAGCAGCCAAGCAUCAUCAGUGCUUGGAGUGUGGCAAAACGUUCAAUUUUUUCAGUGUGCUCACGCGUCACAAGAUUACACACACAGGGGAGGGGCCAUUUUCCUGCAGCUUGUGUGGCAAACGUUUUCUGUCUGAAAUGUCGAAGGGCACUCACAUGCGCACGCACGGGGUAGAAAAGCCUCACAUCUGCACUCUGUGCGGCAAGGGAUUUUCACUACUGGGGACACUGUGGCGUCACAAGAGGACACACACUGGAGAGAAGCCUUACAGUUGCCUGACCUGUGGCAGUCGAUUUAAGGACCGCAGCUCUCUAAGAGAACACAAGCGAAUACACACUGGAGAGAAGCCAUAUCAGUGCAAGAUCUGUGGCAAAAAGUUCAGACUAUCAAGUGGUCUUCGCUAUCAUGUCAGUAAGGGCCCAUGUCAGGAAACACUAGGGUUAAUCACAGGUUUGAGUCAUAGCACAGGGAAAUGAAGAUCAUUACAUCAUAAGUCAGUGGUAUGUGAUUAGUGCCAUGCUACAAGAAUAUAAGGAUCUAUAUCAGUGGUUCCUAAACCUUUCAUGGCAGGCCCCCAGUAGACAAUUAGAAAAAAACUUCCUAUUCAAUACACAUUUUAUUGUAGGCUAUGCAAGGAGUAUAAAAAAUGACCCUUUGUUCAUUAUGCAUAAAAAAAGACUGUGUAACUGCACCCAGCCUCCUCUUAGGUUUCUGAUUUGUCCCCUUUGGAGCGGGUGCAUAUGUCAUGCAUUUUGAGGGGCAGUGCCUUAAAAAAGCGCACACAAGCUUUCAAUGUCUGUUUGUUGUGCCUUAGAAAGUGAACUAUGUGUGUAAUGUUUUGCAAAAAGUGUUUUAUAAAAUUGAAAACUGAGAAAAAGGCUGAGAAUUGGCUUAAAGUUUUGCAGAUUUUGCUGUUAAAUUGUGUUUGGCAAUUCAUGUUAUGUUUAUGCAUGUUAAUUUGUCUCUCACAUGAAUUUGUCUUUCACAUGAUUCCAAGUCAUUUGAGAACGUUACACAGUCAAGCUAUACUAAACAUCUUGAAAAAUUAUUUGGAAAAACUGCAUAAUGUUGCUUAAUAUUUAAAGCCCACCUGGGUAUAGAAUGUAUUCCUGAUUUGGUAUUUUGGUUGGAGUAUCUGUAGCUGAGAAUAAUGUUUGUCAGGAAAACUCAUUCUGUAAGUAUUUCUAUACUUUGUAUUGUUGGUGUGCUUUAACACAAAGCACAAACAUGUAAUAUAUUGAUGUUGGUUUAA